GACUUAAAAUCCGUCGACUUUUAAAAUCGUGAGGGUUCAAGUCCCUUUAUCCCC
rnacentral:tRNA from 1 species